rnacentral:rRNA from 1 species
UGGCUCAGGACGAACGCUGGCGGCGUGCCUAAUACAUGCAAGUCGAGCGGACAGAUGGGAGCUUGCUCCCUGAUGUUAGCGGCGGACGGGUGAGUAACACGUGGGUAACCUGCCUGUAAGACUGGGAUAACUCCGGGAAACCGGGGCUAAUACCGGAUGGUUGUUUGAACCGCAUGGUUCAGACAUAAAAGGUGGCUUCGGCUACCACUUACAGAUGGACCCGCGGCGCAUUAGCUAGUUGGUGAGGUAACGGCUCACCAAGGCGACGAUGCGUAGCCGACCUGAGAGGGUGAUCGGCCACACUGGGACUGAGACACGGCCCAGACUCCUACGGGAGGCAGCAGUAGGGAAUCUUCCGCAAUGGACGAAAGUCUGACGGAGCAACGCCGCGUGAGUGAUGAAGGUUUUCGGAUCGUAAAGCUCUGUUGUUAGGGAAGAACAAGUGCCGUUCAAAUAGGGCGGCACCUUGACGGUACCUAACCAGAAAGCCACGGCUAACUACGUGCCAGCAGCCGCGGUAAUACGUAGGUGGCAAGCGUUGUCCGGAAUUAUUGGGCGUAAAGGGCUCGCAGGCGGUUUCUUAAGUCUGAUGUGAAAGCCCCCGGCUCAACCGGGGAGGGUCAUUGGAAACUGGGGAACUUGAGUGCAGAAGAGGAGAGUGGAAUUCCACGUGUAGCGGUGAAAUGCGUAGAGAUGUGGAGGAACACCAGUGGCGAAGGCGACUCUCUGGUCUGUAACUGACGCUGAGGAGCGAAAGCGUGGGGAGCGAACAGGAUUAGAUACCCUGGUAGUCCACGCCGUAAACGAUGAGUGCUAAGUGUUAGGGGGUUUCCGCCCCUUAGUGCUGCAGCUAACGCAUUAAGCACUCCGCCUGGGGAGUACGGUCGCAAGACUGAAACUCAAAGGAAUUGACGGGGGCCCGCACAAGCGGUGGAGCAUGUGGUUUAAUUCAAAGCAACGCGAAGAACCUUACCAGGUCUUGACAUCCUCUGACAAUCCUAGAGAUAGGACGUCCCCUUCGGGGGCAGAGUGACAGGUGGUGCAUGGUUGUCGUCAGCUCGUGUCGUGAGAUGUUGGGUUAAGUCCCGCAACGAGCGCAACCCUUGAUCUUAGUUGCCAGCAUUCAGUUGGGCACUCUAAGGUGACUGCCGGUGACAAACCGGAGGAAGGUGGGGAUGACGUCAAAUCAUCAUGCCCCUUAUGACCUGGGCUACACACGUGCUACAAUGGACAGAACAAAGGGCAGCGAAACCGCGAGGUUAAGCCAAUCCCACAAAUCUGUUCUCAGUUCGGAUCGCAGUCUGCAACUCGACUGCGUGAAGCUGGAAUCGCUAGUAAUCGCGGAUCAGCAUGCCGCGGUGAAUACGUUCCCGGGCCUUGUACACACCGCCCGUCACACCACGAGAGUUUGUAACACCCGAAGUCGGUGAGGUAACCUUUUAGGAGCUAGCCGCCGAAGGUGGGACAGAUGAUUGGGGUGAAGUCGUAACAAGGUA